rnacentral:lncRNA from 1 species
GAUCCUUCAGGAUGCUUCAGUAGUACCUGUAUCUUCAUCCAAAACCAUCAUGAUCCUAUUUGCCUCCCCAAGCCAGUUCUCUUCCUUACUUGCUACUGUUGCCACUGCUUCGGUUGUUUCUACUACCCAGGCCACAGUCUUCCAAGGCCAACUUGAACCGCAACAGCAAGACACACAGGUUCCAUUUCAACAAUGUAAAUGGUGUCCAUGAGGACCUGGAGGUAAGGCCUCAUUUAUCCGUGGCUUCCCUCACUCCCUCCACAAAUACAAAGCUAGAGUGAUGCAGUCAGUGAAUCCGCUGGACUCUGCCCUUAAAGUGCAUCCAGAAUCCGAUCACUUCUCUCC